AUGCAAUAAAGGCUGUUAAAACACUUCGUGAGAAAGGUUCAAUACAUGAAGAUGUAAUAUUAAUUGUAGAUGAAUUUUAUCUUCAGAAACAAGCACAAUAUUGUAGUGGUAUUUAUGUGGGUGCAGAUGAUACAGGUACUUUGUACAAAGGAGUUGUUGCAUUUAUGAUAGUU